ACUGGGAAAUCUGAUACUAUAUCAGUGAAGGAACACCGAUCGUCUGAUUCCACUGCGAAGCCGCUCAGUUAUUGACCCGACUAGAUGACCGAGGUUCAGUGCGCGCGCAGUCUGCCAGCACUCACCAUUCUAGACCAUCUCUAGCGAGAGAUGCCGGCGCCCUGCGAUUCCUGUAAAAGUACAUGUGGAGGGGGUAAGGCGGCCUGUGGGGCAGCAUGCACGUGCGGCCCUACCUGCGCUUGCGGCGAUGGCAAGCCUUCGGGCGACAAGCCAUGCUGCCAGGGGAAGUAACUGUUUAGAACUUCUGAAUCUCUUCAAAUACAAAGGCUAUUAUUCUUCUUAAUGUAGCAUAUAAUCACUACAGUAGAAUUACAUACUUAUAAUGUAGUUAUUCUACUAUUAAUAAUCGUACAUGUAUAGAUGAUAAGUGAAAUUCUACUAUAGCUUAUAAUAUUGUGUGGUCAUGAAACAAAACGUAGUUAAUUACUUAUGAUUAUAAUAUAUAGCUUAAAUGUUUAGAAUAGUUGCUUUAUUGGCUAAUGUAUCUAAGUGUUAAAUUUUAUCACAUUCAGUGUUUAUUCUAAUUUAAAAAUCUCUUACGAAAAGAGUCCUUAAAGUACUUAUAAUACUCAUAAAUGUAAGCUAUUAAUGUAUGGGCACGCACACACGCGAGAGUAUGAAUGAAUGUAAUGUAGAAAUUAAACUAUCUAUAGAGAA